rnacentral:rRNA from 1 species
GAUGAACGCUGGCGGCGUGCCUAAUACAUGCAAGUCGAGCGAACGGACGAGAAGCUUGCUUCUCUGAUGUUAGCGGCGGACGGGUGAGUAACACGUGGAUAACCUACCUAUAAGACUGGGAUAACUUCGGGAAACCGGAGCUAAUACCGGAUAAUAUUUUGAACCGCAUGGUUCAAAAGUAAAAGACGGUCUUGCUGUCACUUAUAGAUGGAUCCGCGCUGCAUUAGCUAGUUGGUAAGGUAACGGCUUACCAAGGCAACGAUGCAUAGCCGACCUGAGAGGGUCAUCGGCCACCCUGGAACUGAGACACGGUGCAGACUCCGACGGGAGGCAGCAGUAGGGAAUCUUCCGCAAUGGGCGAAAGCCUGACGGAGCAACGCCGCGUGAGUGAUGAAGGUCUUCGGAUCGUAAAACUCUGUUAUUAGGGAAGAAGAUAUGUGUAAGUAACUGUGAACAUCUUGACGGUACCUAAUCAGAAAGCCACGGCUAACUACGUG